CUCCUCGAAGAGAUCCUCGAGGAGAUCCUCCUCCGCCUGCCUCCGCAGCCGUCCUCCCUUCCGCGCGCAUCCCUCGUCUGCACGCGCUGGCGCCGUAUCCUCUCCAACCCCGGCUUCCUCCGCCGCUUCCGCGAGCACCACAGCCGGAACAAGCCACCGCCGCUGCUCGGCUUCUUCGACAAGCAAUUACACGCAGACAAGCCGCCCAUCUUCAACCCCACGACGAUGGGCCAGCGGGACCGCAUCCCACCCGCGCGCUUCACCGUGCCAUGGAGCUGCUGCCAGGGCUGGGAGUUUCUCGGCUGCCGCCACGGCCUCGCCCUGCUCAUCUGCCGGGCGCGCCGCGAGGCCCUCGUGUGGGAUCCCCUCACCGGCCAUCAGCGCCGCGUAGCGUUUCCA
rnacentral:rRNA from 1 species